CCCAGGGAUCGAACCCACGUCUGCUGCAUUAGAGGCGGAUUCUUUACCACUGAGCCCCCAGGGAAGCCCCCACCUCCUGCUAAAGGUCCCCUUUAACCCAGAGCCCUGCCCUGGACCCGUUUCCCCUGGUCUAGUCCCCACUGUGACCUGCCUCCUGUCGCCCUCCCGCACCCCCGCAGCCAACCACAGGCUUCCACUCUGCGUGCUCCCCAGGCCCGGUGCAUGCCUCCCGCCUCUGCCGGGUUGCGGGCCUCGGCUUGGCCCCGGCCCUGGGGACAAUCAGCAGUGACCCCACCUGGCCCUGGGGACUAUCAGCAGAGCCCCCUCCCUGCCUGUGGUGCUCAGCCUCCGCGUCUCCCCCAUACAGCAGCUCCCGGCAGUUCACGAUCCUAGCUCUUUCGUUUUCUUGUCCCCUCCAGCACCCUGGGCUCAUGAAGAUGCCCUGGUACGUGGGAAGCUCUCAAUAACAUAUUAAUGAAAAAGCAGAGCUUAGCAAGAGGCUCGGCAGCCUCAGGACACACCGUCCACACUGGGAUGUGGCUCCAGGUCGGACGCUGAGGUCCGAGUGUGGAAGCCCACUCUUCCAGGUCAGCGGUCAGCGUGUCCUUCUUCCGAGAGGGGCCACGAUGAAAACACGGAUGUCGAACAUGGCUACAACCUCAGGGUGACUUCUAAAAGUGACACCCAGGGCUGAAACCAGAAAGAAAAGACAGACAGAUAACGCCCCACCACUGACGGAGAACACCUUCCCUCACUGCAGACCCCACGCACGGGGUACAAAACUGCCAGGGAGCUGACUCAGGGCGGGAGCAGAGCUUCCAAAGGCUGGGACCCAGCUCUGCUGCCUCCUCCCUGGAAGAGGGUGCUGGGUCCCCUGGGAGAGCAUGCAGGCACCCCACGCCGUGUAGCCACCCCCUACACCCCACCCAGCCGCUGGCUCCAGCCUCCAAGAAUCUCAGUGGCCGUGAACAGCUUGGACCACGGAUUUCAGGCCCUCUCCUGAAGCGGAAAAGCCCACAGGCGGCUCCCUCACCGUAUCUCCUGUCUCUACUACUACACGCUGGCUGGUUCCAAAUCCAAGGCAGAGGGCUGUCUGACCGUUCACCACUCAGGGCCUUAAAAUGACCCAAGGACUGUUUUCAGCCCAGACCUCACCCCUGAACGUCUGACUUAGAUAGCAAAC